UACGAAGGGGGCUAGCGUUGUUCGGAUUUACUGGGCGUAAAGCGCACGUAGGCGGAUUGGUCAGUUAGAGGUGAAAUCCCGAAGCUCAACUUCGGAACUGCCUUUAAUACUGCCAGUCUAGAGUCCGGAAGAGGUAAGUGGAACUCCUAGUGUAGAGGUGGAAUUCGUAGAUAUUAGGAAGAACACCAGUGGCGAAGGCGGCUUACUGGUCCGGUACUGACGCUGAGGUGCGAAAAGCGUGGGGGAGCAAAACAGGG
rnacentral:rRNA from 1 species